rnacentral:ncRNA from 1 species
UGCGCAACGCGUGCUUGAUGACGACGCCUGAAAAGCUCAUGCCUUUGAGCCGUGCGGUGCGGAUAUAUUGCUGUGUCAUCACCUCCACCAUGGAGGCGCGCGUCAUGCGGGCGAUAUAGCCGAUGCCGUAGACGGCCAUGGUCAUGACAGGCAGCGUGAAAUUGUAGAAGGUGACGCCU